rnacentral:lncRNA from 1 species
GGAAUUCUAAAUUGGAACAAGUAUUCGAAUUAGAAGAAAAAGUGGAAGUGGUAGCUGAAGAGGAGAUGAAAUUUGAUAAAUUAAAAUGGUUAUCACUUGAAGAACUACCUGGCCUCAUUCACUUUUGUCCCAAAGGAUAUCAUUCUGUAUUCCCAGCAAUGAUAGAGUUGAAAGUAAGAGAUUGCCCUAAGUUGACUACUGAUUUCUUCAUUGAUUCACAGGAAUUUGUACAUUGCAAAACAAAGGUAUAUAUCCUACAACCCUUUAAUCCUACUUUAUUCUAUGUAAUUAUAACAAUUACAACUGAAGGCAUAACAUGCAAAAUUUUUAAUUAAAUUCCUUGAGUAUAAAUUUUUCCUUGAUGACAUGAGAUUAAAGUUUCAGUUAUAAAUUUUUCUUCAAUUGUUUUCCAAGGCACUUCAGUUGGUUGAGCAAGAUGCGGUUGAAGAGUAGUCUACCACUGUUCGAAAUGCAAUUUUCAAUGAGAAUAUAUAUUGGAGCCGAGGUGGGGGUGAGAGUCAACUACCACACAUUACAUGAAAGAAUGGAUGAUUUUAGGGUAGCUUUCAAAGCCAUGUUACAUCAGUAGGUGGAGCAAUGUUGCUCGGUUGUUUUUAGUUAAGUGUUUGAUAUAAUUUGUGUAUGAUAGAACAUGACCUUCAGAGGCGUUUUUCCCACAAACGCCGCUAAAGAACAUGAUCUUUAAAAAAAUUAUUUUAAUUAAAUAAUAUUUAUUUCUAUGAUAAAAUAUUUUAUUUUAUUUUAUUUUUGAAAUUUGAACUUUAAACUAUAUACUAAAUAAAAAAUAUUAAUUAUAUUAUAUUUUCUAUGAAAAUUUUAAAUUUAAAACUAAAUAUAAAAAUUAAUGAAUUUAAAUUUAGAAUUUAAAUAUUACGUUUUUAAUUCAAGUUCAACUUUUGGCACACCUUACAAACAUGGGCUCUAAACAGGGAGAAAAAUUGCAUCUCGGGCAACAAAAAUCAAAACAGUACAAAGGUAAUAUCUUCAAUAAUUUUAUCGAUAAUAUCGAUACGGUAUAAUUAACCCUGCUCACAAGUUACAAUCAUUGUUAUGCCCGACUCAUAAUAUUUAUGUAAUGACCUAAUAUUGCCCGGUCCAUUAUAAAAUAAUAAAACAGUCCAAUUUAUUUUUACAAACCCAAAUUUAAAGCCCAAACUCACUACCUAAUACAGACUCUAACCCAAAACACUAAACCUAAAAUGCAAAUUAAACCCGAGCCCAAUAAACUAAACCCAGUUAAACCUAGCCCAGUAAACAAACUAAGCCCAAACCCCAACCCGAUUGUAGAAACCCUAGCCUACAAGCCUUCAGCAUGCCGCUCCUUCCCCACGUGCGCCUCUCCCUCCAGGUUGGCUGCAUACCUGCAAAGGAAUAACAGAAUAAUAGCAAAAUAAUAAGAGAAAAUAGCAAAAUAAUUUUUGUAUUUUUAUUUGGCUAUAUAAAGCCAUUGCAAAUUUGUAAAACAGAUACUGGAUACAAAAAUAUAAAAACAAAUCAAAUAGCUUUGUUAUUUCAAGGUGAUUUUUCAGAUUCUGUCAAUUUUUUUUUUGCUCUUGGUUUUAUCAUCUUUUUAUUAAAAUAUAAAAAGAAAGGAAUGAGGAGAGAAGAUUUACCUCUACUAGUAUUCUGUUGGCCCUCGUCUGCUCUAUUAAAAUCAGAGUUGAAGGGGCUGUUGUUUCGGCUGGGAACGGCGGAGGGAGGAUAGCCUAGGGUUUUGUUUUUGUUUUAUUUUCCUUAGAAGUGAAACACAAAUUCUGAUUAGGUUUUGGUUUGGGAUUUUAUAAAGUAAUAAAAACGACGUCGUUUGGGGCCUGCUUCAGUGGCCCCAAAACGGCAUCGUAUAAGGCCAUACCCGACUGACCCGACCCAGAGGCGGCUAAGAUCCACGUGUUGUGGCCUUGCUAGGGUUAUUUGCGAAUUUUGUCGUUUAUUAUUACUUUGAUUUAACAUAUUUUAUGAUUCAUAUAUUCUCUUUUAAAAUUACUUAGAUUUACCUCUACUAUUAUAUACAUGCAAUUUUCAUUUUUUUUAUUUCAUGAACAUAUUAUUGAUUUCCUAUUAUUAUAAGGGUAAACUACCAAAAUAGUUACUUUUGUUUGCCCUAGGUUAAAUUUUAGUCACUUAUGUUUGAAAUAUUACGUUUUAGUCACUUACGUUAUCGUGUUGUAACAUUUUAGUCACUAAGUUGUUAAUCGCCAACAAUGGUGUAACGGUAAGCUGAUGUGGCAUGUUAAAUCAUCAUUUCAAACAAAAAUUUUAGGUUAAAUUCUACAAUUGGUCCCUAUAUUUUUUUCAUUUUAAACAAUUUUAAAAUUUUCUUUUAAGUUCUUUUAACUUUUUUUUCCAUUCUCUUCUGCUUCUCCCUCUAUUUUCCUCCCUUCUUCAUUUCUUUUAACAUAGUUUUUCUAUGUUUUCCAUUUGUAACUAGUCCACAAGCUUGCCUCACUCGAAAAAAUUAAAUUGUUCAAAAAAAUAAAACAUAGCGAAACUAUGUUGAAAGAAAUGGAGAAAGGCGGAAAACAAAGGGAGAAACAUAAGAGAAUGGAAAAGAAAGAAAGUUAAAAAAACAUAAAAGAAAAAAAUUAAAUUGCUCCAAACGAAAAAAGAUGGGACCGAUUGUAUAAAUUAACCUAGAAUUUUUGUUUAAAAUGAUGAUUUAAUGUGCCACAUUAGCUUAUUGUUACACAGUUAACAGAAAUUAACAGCUCAGUGACUAAAAUGUUACAACAUGAUAACAUAAGUGACUAAAACGUAACAUUUCAAACAUAAGUGACUAAAAUGUAACCUGAACCAAACAAAAGUGACUAUUUUAAUAGUUUACCCUUAUUAUAAUUAUCAUCUUUCGGCUUUUACAUUUAUAAUUUAUUUAUUUUAAACCUCCUUUACUUAUUUUGUAUAUUUCAACCAUAUUGUAUUAUUAUUAUGUACAUAUAUUAUUGUUUUUAUUAUUAUCAAACUCUUCAUUUAAUAUGUAUUAUUUAUUUAAAUUAAUAUGUGUAUUGUUUUAUAUAUUAUAAAUUUUAAUUUUCUACUUAUACCAUAUUUACUUUAGAAAUCAUUUGCGUAUUACAAUUUCAUGUAAAAUCUAUUUCGAAUUUCAAUUUACCUUCUUUCCUGUCAUUUGUUUCUUAAAUGGUGUUUAAACUUGUACACUUUAUUGGUGUUUAUGUAAAUUUGCUCAAUUUUAAAUUAGUUUCCUCCUAUUAGCUAAUGUUUGUGUUCGCAUGAGAUAAUCAUUGCUAAGCUUGUUGAAUUUAUUGAUUAUUUAUUCAUCAUUCCUUGGUCUAUGUUUUAUUUACAAAUUAUCCUUUCGUAUUAUGCGUUACCAUUCAAUCGCACUACAUUUGUUUUGAAGAUUACGCUUCAUUAAAACAUUAAAGUAGUUUUAUUCCGAAAUUUUCAAGAUACUCGGGGUCCAAGAUUCUCGAGAAGAUUGUGCCCUAACUUACUGGGCUUCGAUUUUUUUUGUUGAAUUUAAAUAGCCUAGUAUCCCUUUUCCAAUAAAAUCGUACCAAUUUCAAAAACCAAAAUUUAUCUUGGGAAUUCCAAAAGGGUUGUCCCUCAUGUUCAAAUCUGAUCCGGGAUCCCUAAAUUGGGUCCUUCAAAUGACAAUUAUACAAGAGUUAACAUUUGUAUAUUAACGAAAGAUUUUUCAAGAAUCGUGAAAGAUUGACUAAUUGAUUUGUAAGAUCAAUAUCGGAUAAAAAAAUAUGAAAUUUGAGGUCCUAAACUUUAGAUCGAGAGGCACUUACCGUACUUGAUGGAAUUACGGAAGCUAUCAACGAUAAAUUCAACAAAUGGUAGAGAAUCGAAUUAUCGGGGAUUGAUUUGAUAUCGAGAGCAAAAAUAGUAUCAGCAAUGGAGAGAAAAUUUGAUGCAAAGAAGUUGAUGGAAAAGAAAUAUGAGAAGAAAUAGGGAGAGAGGAGAAAUUCUAAUUGGAACGAAAAAAGAAACAUAAUCCUAGUGUAAUUAGGGAAAAAGGGACUAAAUAGCUAGAGUUUUCAAAUAUGAAGAGGCUGCAUGGGAGAGGAGUAAGUGUUUAACCAUUGGAUUGCUACCCAUUUCUUAAUAAAUUUCACUCUAAAUAAUAUUUAUUUUAGUGUGGCUUUUAUCCUGGGUUGCUAAAAAAUUAUAAUGGAAAAAUGAGAGAGGUGUGGUUUAAACCUUGGACCUCUAAGCAAUGUAUGUAUCCAUUUCACAUGUUAGAUUAAGAAAACGGUGGUAGUAGCUGCAACAGGAGCUGAAUAUGCAACAGAGAUCCAAGGCCGCAUACCCAAACGAAAACUAUGUUUCCACUCACGGCCCAUGUAAAAAGCUACACCAAGUAAGAAGUGUAAAACAAUUAACUCAUAAGGACGACGCUUCCCAAAUCAGGUAAAAGUGCAAACUUAUAGCUGUAGAAGUAGGAAUAAUGGCACUAAAAAUAAUAUUGUUUCCAUAAAGUAGAGAUCUAGAAACACUGGAGUAGCAGCAAUGAAGGCGAUAAUAAAUACAGAAGUAGAGGUCAAUAACGGAUCAUCAAAACACCAAACCAUCCGAUGUAAAGACGAUUUUUAGUGCUGGUUAUCCAAUUACAGAAGCAACCCCAUAGGCUUUCGCUUUCGCAUCUCUCUAAAAUUGCAGUCAUGGUAAAUCUUGGUUUAUUUAAUAAACAACUUAACCCACAAAUUACUACCUAAACAAUACUCUCUUUUUCCAAGUUGGUAUCUAAACUUUUUUUAAUCACAAGCGGUACAUAAACUAUUCUUUUGUUAUCCAUUUUACACCAAAUUGUUUUAUCCUUUAAAAAAAUUCCAACCAAUUAUAGAAUGCUACAUCAUAUAAACUUUAAAAAAUAAAUUUUAAUUCUUUUUUUUACAUGUUUUCUCUCUCUUUUAUUUAUUUUUUAUAUUUAUUUCUUAUUCCUUUAUAAUGUUUGGCAAUGCUAUCAACAUAAGACUUUAUCUUCCACUAAUUAAGAUAUUUUAAAUAAAAUAUUCUAAAACUUAAGACUUAAUGAAACUCUAUCUAUAAACUAAACAGUUAGCUUAACAACAUAGGUAUCAACUUGGGGAAAAAAUUAUUUAAGUGGCAUUUGUGAUAAAAAAAAUUAUUUAAGUAUCAAAAUUAGAAAAAUGACAGAGUUUAGGUACCAAUUUAAGGGUUAAAAUUGUUUUUAAAUAGAUUUAACGGUUUGUCUGACUAUUUGAUUAACAUAAUUAAUGUGAACUUAGAAAAAAAUAAUUUAAGUAUCAUUUAAGAUAAAAAAUUUAAUUACCAAAAUGAAAACAAAAUAAGUAAUAUUGGUAUCUUAGAUAGCAAAGGUAUUGAAGAUUUGAAGGGAUAAAUUAUAAGUAAACGCCAUAUUUCUUUUAAAUAAAAUAAUCACUUUUUCUUUCUUAUGUUUAAUGCUUAUCUUUCGAAUUUAAAAAUCCAUUUGAUAUCAUUGUGUCUUCUUUCAACUAUUAUUUCAUUCUAAAAGUAAAAAUAAAAUAAAUAAACAAAUAAAAGUGAAAUCAAUAACUCUAAAAGUUUUUAAAAGUAAGACUUGAUUAAAUUCUAUUUAUAAUUUAAAUAGUUAAAUUUUAUUAAUAAUUUUUGUAUUAUGUGUAAGUUGUAUAUUUAAUUUUUAUAUGUUAUUUUGAUUAAUUUUCGACUUUAAUUUUUUGAAAUUUAAAAUUUCAGUCAUGACCAAAUGGUAAUUGUUAAAUUCAUUAAGUUAUGUUAUGCUAUUUUUAAAAGUGAUAUUACGUGAUCGGAUCGUAGUGAGACAUACCCUAAUCCUGAGUGGAUGAAUGACUAUGUAUGCGUGACUUGUAUACUUUGAUAUAAGUAAAAGCUUGAGUCCAAAUAGAUAAGAAACUGAAAGUUGGUGUGCUGGGUAUCCGACUUGUACAUUAUAUAGCGUUAUUCAAAAUAGUGAAAUACAAAGCUCAAGAAAUGAGUAAAUAGUAUCCUUUAAAUGUGACUAAUGCAGGUAAAUUUAGAAGAAACACUUGCCAACUAGACUCCUCUAAAUCCCAUCAUCCAUUCUAAUCUAUGUUACUGGGACUCAAAAUAAAUCCGGCUAUCUAUCCGACAUGGGUACUUUUAAAAGUAAAUGAAAAGUUGGAUCAACAAAAAGUUCCAUCAACAAAUAAGAGAAAGCUUAAUGGAGAUAUAUAGAAGAAACACUUGCCACUGGCAUCAAACUCAAAGCUAUAGCUACAUGGAUUUCUAAGGAACUGUUCCAUAAUCUCAUAGAACCCUAAAACGAGAUUAGGUCAUUUUCGACUCAAAACUUGAAAUUUACAUGAUUUUCAACCCCUACCCAAAAUUCCAUUUCUUCCUUGUCAUAUGGUCCUUGUUAACAACAGUACAAAAUUACUGAAAUGAUUGUUAUUUCUUCAUACUUUUACAGUAACGUAAACCCUACUAUUUAUAAUACAUUUAUUAACAACCGUAACUACCAUCCUUAACUACUAACUAUCAUAACUACCUGCAUACCCUAAUAUGCCACCAACUUCCUCAACUUCUGCUAAGAAUACCUUCUAAGCAGAAUGUUUUUGAACUAACUUAAGACAAGACCUGAACUUAGUAAAUAGAGAAGCUGACAAAGGUUUAGUAAACACAUCAGCAACUUGUUCAUGUGCUAGAAUGUGCCCUACAACAAGUUUUCCAUCUGCGACUUUCUCUCGAACAAAGUAAAGGUCCAAUUCUACAUGUUUAAAUUUUGAAUGUAGAACUGGAUUUGUAGACACAGCAACAGCCCCUGAGCUAUCACACCAUACAGUGGGUUUCUUCAAGGGUGUAACAUGCAGUUCUGACAAAAGCGACUCCAACCAAACCACUUCUAUAACCGUGUGAGCCAGCCCUCGAUAUUCUGCCUCUGCUGUGGACCUGGAGACAGUUGGCUGCUUCUUUGUCCCCCAUGCAACCGGAUUACCACUAAGAAAAACACAAAAACCUGUAGUAGACCUCCGUUCAUCGACAUUAGAUCCCUAAUUCACGUCUGAGUAGCCAACCACAUCCAAUGCAUGAGUCUUUAUGAAUCGAAGACCAUAGUCAAUAGUACCCUAAAGAUACCGAAGAAUACGCUUGACUGCUUGAAAAUGUUGAUCAAGAGGGCGAUGCAUAAAUUGACACACUUUUUCCAUGGCAAACAUAAUAUCUGGCCUGGUUAUAACCACAUAUUGAAGUGCUCCUACAAUACUUCGAUAUUCAGCUUCAUUCUCAAUAGCACAACCACUAGACUGAGACAACUUCGAAGUAGAAACCAUUGGAGUGGGAGAACUGUUUGCUUGAUCCAUCUUGGCUUUCUUUAGUAAGUAAAAAAUAUACUUUGACUGACUUAAAUAUAAACCAUCAGUAGUAGUGGUCACCUCAACACCUAGGAAAUAACCAAGAGACCCUAAAUCUUUUAAAGCAAACUGAGCAUCUAACAUUGCCACAAAGCUGUCGAUACUUUGUUGAUGAUUGCCAGUGACUAUUAUAUCAUCGACAUACAUGAGCACGUACAAAAGCACUCCUUCCACCUUCUUUACAAAAAAGAAAGCAUUAGACUUAGUAGGGACAAGCUGUGAGUCAAGCAAAAACUCACGUAGCUUAGAAAACCAUGCUCUUGGAGCCUGCUUAAGGCCGUAAAGAGCUUUCUUUAACCUGCAUACUAACACUCCACCAUCACUACAGGUCUGCUCAAAACCAGGUGGUUGUGUCAUAUAAAUUUCUUUAGCCAAAUCCCCAUUGAGAAAGGCAUUGUUAAUAUCAACUUGUCGAAGUUGCCACCUAAAUGCAACAGCCAAUGUCAACACAACCUGAAUAGUAGUCGGCUUGACAACCGGACUGAAAGUAUCUUGAAAAUCAAUUCCUGCCUUUUGAAGGUAGCCCUUGACAACUAAACGACCUUUGUAACGAGCGAUGGUCCCAUCUGAUUUUCUUUUGAGUUUGAAAAUCCACUUGCAACCCACAGCCUUUCUGUCGGCAGGUAAAGUAACUAAAUCCCAUGUGUUAUUUUUUAACAAGGCAUCAUACUCUUGUUGAGCUGUGAGAGUCCAUUCUUUGCUAGUAAAGGCCUGUUCUAUUGUAGCAGGUUCUAUUUCUGUGAACUCUGCUGAAAAGACUCUGGGUCUAAAAAUCCCGCUCUUAGAUCGCAUCUGCAAAGGAUGAGAGUUUCCUACAGGAACCCGAGUAGGCUCACUAGGCAAACAUCGAGUAUGGUCAGAUGAAGAGCUGGAUGAUGCUGUGGAUUGACAUGGAACAUCUGAAGAAGAACUAUUUGAACCCUCUUGUAUGGGAGAACAACUCACACGUGGGCUGACUCGUAAACCAUCACAUCUUGGUAUACUGUGAGAAGUUCUCUGAGCAGAUAAAACCUCAGCUGAAGGUGAGUGUCUUACUGGUCCUGAUGAGGGUGAUAGAAUAGGAACCACAGAUUGCUGAUGUUAAAAUGUAUUUGAGUUAUGUACAGGCAACGAAACUCUUACAAAAUCAGAAUCAGUUUUAAAAGGAAAACAUCCUUCAUCAAAAACCACAUGUCUGGAUAUAAACACUUUCUGAUUUUUGUCGAGGCACUUGUAGCCUUUAUGAGCCAUACUGUAGCCAAGAAAUACACAUGGCUGACAAUGGAAUUACAGCUUAUGCGCAUGAAACGGCCUGAGAUAAGGAUAGCAUCGACAUCCAAAAACCUUUAGAUGCUGGUAACUAGGAACAGUUUGAUGCAGAACUUCAUGAGGUGACCUUCCCUUGAGAAUUGGUGUUGGGAGUCUAUUUAUAAGGUAUACUGCACUAACGAAUGCAUGAGACCAAAAAAAAUGGGCAUAUUCACCUGAGCAAGUAAAGUCAAGCCAGUGUCAACAACAUGACGAUGCUUCCUCUCCACCAACCCAUUCUAUUCUAAAGUAUGCGGACAAGAAAGCCUGUUUUGAAUCCCAAGAUGACACAACAUUUUCUGAAAUGGACGAUACUCUCCUCCCCAGUCAGUUUGGAGAGCUCGUAUCUUGCCACCAAAUUGCACCUCAACAAGUUUUUGAAACUGAAGAAACUUAGCCAAAGCUUCAGACUUAUUCCUGAUCAAAUACAACUAGGUAUACCGAGAGUGAGCAUUAACAAAUGAGAUGUAAUAGAGACUGCCGUCAGACAUUACAGGGGUAAGUCCCCAGAGAUCUGAAACAACAAGUUGAAAAGAAGCUGAAUACACAGUGUUUGAGGGAGAAAAAAGAAAUUUAUGUAGCUUUCCAAGUUGACAAGCAGAGCAAACGGAUCUCAGUUUACAUUUCUUUGAAUCAAUAUUACAAUUUUGAAGAACUUUAGUAACUGUCCUAUGACAAGGAUGUCCAAGGCGCCUAUGCCAUAGCUCAAACACUUCAUCACCAGAAGAAGAGACUCCCGACUGUGCUGUAUAUGCUACAGUUGUGUUACCAAAAGUAUCAAUAUUCUUCGAUGUGCCAGGAUGCUGAGUGUCUGAAAGGUUAAAUUGAUAUAACCUAUUAUGUAUGUGCCCCACCAGUAAUAUGGCCCCUGUCUUGAUGUCCUUCACAAAACAAUGAAGAGGAUAAAAUUCAAAAUACACAGAGUUGUCAGUAGCAAAUUGAGCAACAGACAUUAGAUUCUUGCAUAUUUGAGGGAUAUGAAGUACAUUCUUCAAUUGGAACACUCUGUUGGACCGAAUAAAAGAGGAGGAACCAAUAUUAGCUACUGGUACAGACAGAUCAUUUCCCAUAAACAACUUUUGUUUACCUGUAAAUGGAGCUACUUCACAUAGACCAUCCAGAUCAUUAGUUAUAUGAUUUGUGGCCCCUGAAUCGGGAAACUAGACAUUGUCAUUGGAAACCAACUUCCCAGUCGUGGAAACCAUAUUAGCUUGCAGGCCACUAGGAGUUACUGUAGAACCUUUAUGAUUACAACAAUGACAAUUCAUACUGGGCAGAUCAGAAGACUCUUGGAGCUGAUGACAAUGCGCUUGCAUGGACUGCUGAGACACGCCCUCAAAGGACUCAUCAAACCGAUAGUAGCACUUGUGCAUAGUGUGUCCAAUCCGGCCAUAAAGCUGACACUGAGGCGUAGUAUGUGUGAAUCUCCUUCCUCGACCUCUGCCUCAAAACUCUCUAGAACCACCCCCUCUAGAAGAUGAUCAAGAAUUGUUCUCAAAUUGCUUAACACGACUACCACCAGAUUCAGUAUGUUGAGCGACAUUAGCCUGCAAAGACAUAUUGGAAAUAAGAUCUUGCUUUCGAGCCUCACAAUCAGUCAACAUUUCAGUGAGAUGAUCAAUGCAAAAAUUCAUUACUGAUGCAACUAUACGUAUGGAUUCAUAUUCCACUAGCAAACCAACAAGAAUGACAAUAACCUGUUCUUGCUCAGAUAUACCAUUACCAAUAGCAAGAAGAGAAUCACAUUGACCUUGAACCUUCGUAAGAUAUUCUUGAAUGGUUAACUGUCCCUUUUUCUGAGAGUAUAAAGAAUGCCGUAACGUCGAAACUGUCAAAGAAGAUUUAGAAACAAACCUUUUGAGGACAACACUCCAUACAUCAAAACUUGUGCCCACACCAGUGAGACAAACCAGAAUAUUGUCAGAAAUAGUAGACAAGAGCCAAGACGCCAAUAACUUGUCUUGUUGCUUAUGAAAAACAAACUCAGGAUUAGCAACAGGAACACCAUUACUAUCAAGAACAGUUUGUGGAGGAACCUGAAUCGUUCCAAGAACAAACUCAUGCAAGCCAUAACCUUCAAGAACGAGCAAGAUUUGCUGCUUCCAUAAAAGAAAAUUAUGAGCAUUGAGUUUCACCGUAUCAUGUUUAGGAAACUGAUGAAAUUUGCGCGAAGAAGCAUAACCAGGAUCAGGAGACGAAGCAGCUACAGGUAUUGCCGUGUGAACAGAUGGAUGACCACCAUCGUUACCGGAAACAUCAUCUGUAUCCAUCGUCAAAGAAAAGGAAAAAAAAUAUUAUGGCUGUGAUACCAUGUUAACAACAGUACAAAAUUACUGAAAUGAUUGUUAUUUCUUCAUACUUUUACAGUAACGUAAACCCUACUAUUUAUAAUACAUUUAUUAACAACCGUAACUACCAUCCUUAACUACUAACUAUCAUAACUACCUGCAUACCUUAAUAGUCCUAUGGUUUAAAAGGGACGAAAAGGGUACUGUACUUUCACAUCUACACUAUAAUUAAAUGUUUUUUAUUUAUGGUUUUCAGUAUAAUCCAAUUCAUCCAAAUAGAGAAAACCUCUUGGGCUCUCGGAACCCGAUGCGUUCGAGUGUCAGGUCAGUUUCAGAGUAGGAGUGCCUGAAGUCAAAUGGGAGACUUGACUUUAUAGGAGUCGAGUUCCGGUUGGGGGUUGGGUUAGGCGGCUUUGGUUUGGGUUUUGGAGGUGUAAGGGGUUUGGAAAUAGGGGAAAAUGGAGGGUCGUAAGUGGUUUUGGAAAUAGAGUGGGAGAAGAAGUAAGAGAAGUGUUUUGGGGGGUUCGAGAGUGGACGUGAAAGGAGCGAGAGUGGACGUGAAAGGAGCUUUUGCAUGGUUCUGGAAGAAGAAAAAUUGGUGGCUAAUGCUAGUCCUGGAAAUGGAAAACUGAACUUCAAAGAGGAAGAGGGUGACUUUUAGAAGUUCAAAGAAAAAUUGGUGGCUAAUCCUCCAAGUGCAGCAUUUUAUGGUGUAGAAGAAAUACCCAUCUUGAACUUGAAAAACCACUUCAUGAUUCCCAACAACUAUACAAUCUUGAUUCAACAUAGGGACAUCAAUGCUACAUAAUUGGCAACUAUAUCCCACAUUUUCAAGAUAUAGUUUCUGCAAACGUAGAUGCCAGUAAAUGUCGCAUUUGAGGAAGCCAAUACAAAAUAAUUCCCCAGCAAUUAUGCAAAUCAGACAACAUAUGAAGAGGGAAUUCAACAUCAGAACUCGUCAAGUUCGCCUGUGCCAUAUUAUUAUAGCUCAAGAAGCAAUAGGAGAAACUGAAAUGUAGUUCCACAUGUCAUUUUAUUUUUUUAAAAUGUCACAUAUAAUUACCUAUUGAAACAUAUAAGCAAGAAUUUCCACACAUUUAAUUUUAACAGUUGAAUUAAUAUUUUCAAUAACAAAAUAUAAUAAUUUGACUCAAAAUCAAAUGUUGGAGUCGACCUUAUUCAAAAAAGGGAUUUAAGGGUAAAUGAUCAAAUGAAUAAAGGGUAAAGGAUAAGAUUGGUGACCCAACUAUUAAGUUUACUUUUUUAUAUUUUUAUAUUUACUUUUUAAAUUUUUAUAAUAUAUAUUUACUUUUUCUGAUAAAUCAAGUUCAUUUUCUCAUCAACAAAAUAUGUGAAAAACUUAGAAAUUAAAGCUAUUUUCUAAUUCAAUCUCUUUUGAUUUAAUCCUUUUUCUUUUGGUACGUUGUUCAUUUCAAAUGUCCAAUUAAAAGUCUCAAAGAAGCUCAAAAUUAACAAAUUUAUAAAUCAAGAAAAAUGGUUUGGUUGAUGACAUCAAUUCUAACAGUCUCACUCUUUGCUACAAAUAUAGUACCACUUUUAGGUGUUUUCGUGCCUGUAUCAUUUCUAGCUUAAGUAUUGGAGAGAGAUUGCAAGUUAAGACCAUGGCAUUUGAUAUUUGAAUGAAAAAAAGAACAAAGUAGAAGAUACUGUUGAAAAUCAUUUUGGGUACAAAAUUUUUAAAAUAUGUUUAUAUUUACUUUUUAAAAUUUUUAUUUACUUUUUUAAGAUUUUUUCUUUUUUUUUUAUAAUUAAGACUAAAAUGACAAAUCUUGUCAAUAUUGAGUACUAAAUUGAUAGGAUGUAUAUAUAAACAUUAGAAAGCUAUAUUUGUUAUUAAGCUAAUAAAACAAAGCUCGCGUUAGACUUCUAUUAAACAAUUAAUGGAAGAAUGACUAAAAUAUUUAAUUUCGAAAAAUUGAGUCAUCACAAACAAAAAAUUAAUAAUUAAGUGAUCAAAAUAAAAUAAACUAAAUAAUUAGAGGAUUAUUCUUCAACUUUAUCAAUUAAAAGUUAACAUUAUGCCAAAGAAAUUAUUGCAUGAAUUAAGACAUAUAUAUCAAUAAUACUAUUUGCAACAGCGCCAAAAUUCAUAAUAAAAAUGCAACAAAGUUAAAUAAUACCUCUAUCAGUUGAGAUUGGACAAUAAUAAAAGCAUCUCAAUUGGGGACAAUUUCUGGUUUUCAACUUUGGCCAGCACAAAGCAUAGUGGCUCUGCAUAUUUAAAACAUAUAUCUUAAUAUUGUAUAUAAUUGAGGAAUAUCAUGUAAAAAUAUACUUCUUAAUUAUAAAGUAAUAAUUUCAAUUUCAAAUUUUAUUAUUAUUACAAUACUGGAGACAGGAAGGAGAUAAUAAAGUUUCAUUUCGUGUUAUCUGAGUGUCAUCUGAGUGUCAGACAAGUUUUAAUAACUUUAAAAUAUAAAUCCUGUCAAUUGUUAAAGAAAUAAAUAUAAUGACAAAAUAAGAGAAUUUGUGGGGGCUAGAGGUCGAGAGUUUUUCAACCCUUAAAUAGAACUAUACUUCUACUAUUUGACUUUGAUUAAAAUAAAGUUUUUCAACCCUUAAAUAGAUAUAGUCGAAACUCUUCUUGUAUCACUUAUUUUUCAACAUGAAUGAUUCUUUUUCUCUGCCCAUAAUUUUUUCCCGAAAGAAUUUUCAUGUAAAAUUAUAUGUUUUUAUUUACUUUUCUUAUUGCUCUAUGACGUUAUUAUCAACAUUUAUUAUAAUAUACCUCCAUCAGUGAGCUUGGACAAUGAAGCAUAGGGGCAAUUUCUUAGGAAACAAAUUUUAACUUUGGCCACCAGAUUGCAUAGUGGUUCUGCAUGUUUAAAACAUAUAUGUUAAUAUUAUAUAUAAUUGAGGAAUAUGAUGUAAAAAUAUAUUUUUAUUUAUAAAGUAAUAAUUUCAAUUAUAUUUUAUUAUUAUUAUAAUAUCGAGAGAAAGGUAAUGAGAAGAUAUGAUUUGAAUUCGUGUUAUCAUAGAAACUUUAAUCACUGUUUAAAAUAAAUCUUGGCAACAAUUUCAAUUAUAAUCAAUAAAUUAAAUAAUUAAUUCAAAUCAAACUAACUAAUUAAGAGAACCGACACAUAAACUACACGCAAUGAAAUUCGAACUUAAACACUGUAACACAAAAUAUUCUUAAUUUAAAGGCGUAAAAAUCAAUUAAAAAGAAAUAAAUUUAAUAACUUUUUAAACUCUAAUACUCAAAACUUGAGAACUAUUAAAUAUGAACAAUUUACGAAAAGUAACAAUAAAUAUCAAUAUUGAAUAUUUAUACUCAUUCAACUCGAAACCAAUAAAUCAUGAUUAAACAAAUUAUUUAAAAACCCAAAAUUUAUACAUGCGGUAUUCAUUGAAAUAAAUGAUAGUAAAAAUAAUUCUUUAUAUUAUUUAUCAUCAUCCAUCAUAUGACUUGGUUAGAGAAAUCUUAAUUGGCACAUAAAGAGAUAUAUAUAUUCUACAAAGGAUGCUUCUAGGAGAUAUAAAUGUCAAUAUUUGUUGGAAUAAAUGAAAGUAAAAAUAUAUAUUGUAUAAAUCUUAUAUAUUUCUAGUUUUAAUAUUCUUAAGAGUACAAAAAUGAAUGAUAAAGAAAUCACAAACCAAUAAUUGUUUUAAUUCAAAGUAUGAAUACUCAAUCAAGUUCUUCUAACAAAAAGAUUAUUGAAGAAUUUUUAAGAAAUAAAGUGAUCACUUUGAUAAAUUAAUCAACAAAGAGUUUUUAAGAAACCAUAUAUAAUAAAAGAACAAAAGCAUUUACAAUUAUUUUGAGUUUACUGGUAUUUUUUUUAAAGUAACCAUUGAAAUUAUGAGGAUUACAAUAAAAAAAAAUCCUUUUUUUAUGGUAGCAGAGCUGGUUUAGCUGUUCAUCAGCUUGCACUACUGAGCCAUCUUCCAAGUUGUAGACUUGAAAGCCUGUAUAUAAAGUUUUGACUCUGUAUAUAAAGGUGUUCUUCGUAAAGUUUUAAUCUUCACAAUCACGGGGAUAAACCAAGUUUAGUGUUAGCAGAAAUAACAAUAUAAAAUAUUAUAAAGAUUGUUUGUUUGCUUGAACAAAUUGGUCAAAACAUGGAGAAAAUAAGUAGGAAGCAAGAAAAAGAAAUAUAGUUGUAGAAGCCCAAAUUUGCUGGGCCCAUUGUCCAAAUAAAAUAAAAUACAACAAACCCAAAAUUCAAUCCUAACUACCCAAACCUUAAGCCCAAAAUAAUCAGCCCACAAACUUAAAAUUUCAGCAGCAAACCCUAGCUGGCCGCCGCAUGCCUUACGUGGCCUCCUCCUCUGCCAUGCCUGGCUACCGCCGCUCCUAGCCGCCUUUCCUCCGCAUGCUCUGACACCUGCAAAAUUUGAAUGCAAAAGGCACGCAACAACAGAAGAAACAAAUAGCAAAAAGGCAAAGAAAUAGAAAUUAAAAGUUGUGUAGAUCGGCUAUAAAAGCCGAAAAUCUCUUCCUUGUAAUCUUCUUCUUCUUUUUUACGAACAUCUAAAUAAAAAAAACAAGAAAAACAGAGAAAAUUUCAAAAGGAAAAACCUUUUUUCGGUUCUUGUACUUAUUUUAUUUUUAUUUCUUUUAUUUUUGUUUUUUAUACUAAAUAUUGAAAUAAAAAGAGAGGGGAGAAGAAGGGUACCUCGUCGCCUUGCAAGCCCGGCGUCGGUGCUCUCUUCGCCGUCGUCGGAGCCGAAAGUUGGGGACUAAAGACCUUUUUCGGUCCCGCGGGUUGAGAGAGGCCAACCUUCGAGCACGCUGCGACGGGAAGGUUAAAAAAACCAUUUUUUCGCCGUCGGCCGUUGGCCACGGCGGCGGCGGCGCGACGGUGGCUUAGAGAAGCCCUAGGCCGAAUGUAGGGGAGGGUGUUGAGAAAAAAUUGAGGCUCCUUCAGUUUUUUAGAAAAUCUGAAAAAGUAAAAUGAAAAAAAAUACUUUGGUUUAUAUUAGCAGUUAAACGGCGCCGUUUGAAGGAGGGGAGACCUGCGCAUGCUUGCCCUGAUGGGUAAUUUCCGCCUUUGGUCCCUCCAAUCCUGCGGCAUAUUCAAUGUUCCCUUUUGUGCAUUUUAAUUUUGGCCACAUAAUUUUUCGCUUGUUCCAAUCCAGUCCUGCGGAAAAUGAUGCGCAUAAAGACGGGGGAAUAUUGCGCAGUCAGUCCCUUGUAUCCUCAGCGCUUUUCAUUUCAAUCCCUUGCUCCAUUUCUUUUAAACUUUUAAUUAUGCCCCUUUAUUUUAUUAUGAUUUCAAUCGCGCCCUUAACCUUUUAACACCAUUUUUGUAUUUUUUUUAAACUGUUUCUUUUAUUAUUUAAGAUUUUCUUUUAUAUAUUAUUUUAUUUUAAACUAUUUUAGAUUGACUAGUAUUUAUCUCAAGUUUUUUAUAUAUUUUAUUUAUUUCAAAUAUAUGUGUGUGCACUAUCCAUUUCAAAUUUAUAUGUAUUAUGUAAUUUAAAUUGUUUCUCUUGCCAUUUAUUUUAAAAUUCUUUAUACUGAUCGUUUCCAAACUUCUUUAUUUUUACUUAUUUCAUGUUUUUAUAGAUUUAAUACUUUAUACAUUAUUUUGUCUCAUUUUAAAAUAUAUUAUAUAUGCUAGUUAUUUUAAAUCAGUUUGUAUCUUUUUCAACUAUUAUCUGGUUUUUUUGUUUUAUUUAUUAUCUAUUUUAAGAUUUGUCUUAUUUUGAGCUUUUAUGUGUAUAGAUAUUAUUUAUUUUAAAAUUUUUCAUACAUAAUAUUUUUCUUAAAUUUAUUUUGUAUAUAAUUGAUUUUUAAAUUUCUUUUCCGUACUAUUUAUUCAAAGCUCACUUAUAUCUUUUUAAAAUUACUCUACAUUUUAUUUGUUCUAAUUUGUUUUAUGCUACUCAUUUUGAAAUUGUUAUAUGUUACUUAAUUCAUUCGUCUUUAAUUAUUAAUACUAGUAUUCAAAUAAUGUAUGUUGAGUAUGUAUUGUCAUUGUGUGUACCAUAAUUAGUUUACUCGUAUUUUCAUAUUAUUGUCAUACAUUUGUGUAAUUAUCCAUAGAUCAUUAUUCCAUGUUUAUUAUUAUAUUGUUAUUUCACGUCAUCAUUUUGUAAAUUAAGCCCCAACAUAGUUGCCCAAUGUGGAUUGCUUUAUUUUAUUCCAAACAAAAUAAAUGUUUACCUUCAAAUAGAUUACCCGCUAUUAUUCGAAAUGGAAUUUUGCUAAUAAGCAAUAUUUUGCAUUUUGGAAAUUUGAGAAAUUGUACCCUAACUUACUGGGUCUCGAUUUUCUCAUUAAACCCAAAUAACAAAAUAUCCUUUUAAAUUUCAAACAUAUAAAAUUUCGAAAAUAAAGGCAAUAUUCCGUAUUUAGAAAAUUCGAGAAAUCGUGCCCUAACUUACUGGGCUUCGAUUUUUCUCGUGAUUCUAAAUAACCGAAUAUCUUUUUAAAAUUGAAAUAAAUGAGGUUUAAACAAAAAUAUAUAUGCAAGCUUACUCUCGAAAAUACGAGGUGUCGUGUCCUAACUUACUGAAUGUGACAUCUUGUUACUUCGAGAUAAGAAGGCAUUUUUCCAUUUUGAUUUAUCCAAGUAAAUUUUUUUAUAAUGCAAUAUAAAGAAGUAUCAUAUUUUUAAAUUCUUUUCGAGUUUUUAAUUUUCGACAGCAAGACAUUAAGUAAUCAACUAGGCACCAAUUUUGGGCGUAUCGAGGGUGCUAACCCUUCCUCGUGCGUAACCGACUCCCGAACCCAUUUUUUCUGAAUUUCGCAGACCAAAAUCGUUGUUUUAAUAAAAAUUAAAUCGUUUAUUAAAAACAACCACUUUUCAAGGUGACCCGAUCACACCUCAUCAAAAAAAGGAUUGGUGGCGACUCCCAUUUUCGUUUUCUUUUUCAAAAUCUAAGUCGACCCCGUUUCCAGCAAAAAAAUGGUGUCAACAAUAGUGAUAUUUGUUUUCUUUUAUGAAAAUGGGAUUUGCAUGCUCUGAAGAAGUUGCUAGUGAAAACAAAGAAUAAAAAUUGGAGGCAGUUUUUCAUAUAUUUGGAGGGUUUUUCUCUACAAUUAUUUCUAUAUUUAAUUUGUGAUGAAUUAAUUGUAAAACAUGGCAUGAGAGCGAGUUAAUGAAUGCAAUAGGGUUUGGCGAGAGAUGGAGGUUAUGGAUCUCGACGGUAAGAAUUGCGUUGCUUAUUAAUGGCUCUCCAAUUAGGAAAUUUUCUGAGCAAGGAGAUUGCGUCAAGGUGAUUAUUUAUUUAUUUUUUAUGUUUGUUAGCGGCGGAGGCACUUCGUUUGGCUAUCUUAAAAGUUAAAGAUUCUGGUUUGAUUUAUGGUUUAUCAGGUUUAGUGGAUGGUUUCUGUACCUCUUACCUACAAUUUGCGGAUGACACGAUUGUUUUCCUUAAAGGUGAUGUGGUAAAUAUAAAAAAAAAAUUAUAUGUAUGCUGAGGUGCUUUGAGAUUUUUUCUGGUUUGAACAUUAAUUAAAGGAAAUUGAAGCUGUUUGCUAUUGGUAUUGAUGAAGCAAUCACAAGUGAGGUGGAGGAUUUAUAGGGUUGUGGCAUUAACACUUUUCCAUUAAUGUAUUUGGGUAUUCCAUUAGGUGUUAAUCCUCAUAAAGUGAGGGUUUGGGAACCGAUCGUUGCCAAAUGUCGUAAGAAAUUGACCCUGUGGAAGCAUAGUUUUUUAUCUUGUGUGGCACGGGUUGUUUUGGUUAAAUUUGUUCUUUCUUCAUUGCCGUUGCAUUAUAUUCCAUUUUCAAAAUUCAUAAAGGUGUUCUCGAUUAGAUUGAUGGGAUUCGUCGAUAUUUUCUUUGAGCUGGUAUUCUUCCAGUAAUAUAAUGGCCCGAGUGAAUUGGAGGACGGGGUGCAUGACUAAGAAAAAUGGGGGUCUUAGAGUGGUGGAUUUGGCUGCUCAGAAUAAGUCUCUUCUUGCAAAAUGGUUAUGGAAAUUCGCGACUGAACUGAAUUCCUUAUGACGCUAAUUGAUUUCAGCUAAAUAUGGAGUUGAUUCUCUUCCUUAGCGGUUGAGUAUGAGGACCAAUUGGUCUAUGUUAGCAACCUAGAAAUCAGUCUUGAAGAAUGAAAGGAGUCGAUUUUAUCUUUUGUUGGGCCUGAGGGUUUUUUGUGGGUGCUAGUGUCACGGGCCAAAGUGCAAAGCCCGUGACCAUGGCACAAGAUGCACCCCAUGGAGGUCUUUCGAUUAGAUGGGGAACAUUUAGCCCACGAGAACUGGCCCGAUUCAAAGAACUGUUGGAGAAGCUUGUCAGAUUGAAACCUGGUUAGCCCGAUAAUGAAGAUAUGGCAACUUAGGCUAUUUUUAGUAAGUAAGGGAAUCAUAUCUUGUAGAUUUGAUUUGAUAUGAUGUAAUCUUGUAAAUCCCUAAAAUUAAGGGAUAGGCUAAUCUCGUCCGUCAAUGUAAUUUGAUCUUGACCGUCGAUUUUGAGGGAGCUCAACUAUAAAUAGAGAGCCUCCCCUUAUUUGUAUCUCGUCCAUUGUAUGUUAAAUUCUUAAGAGUAAUAGAAUUCUUUGAGCAUUUACUCAAACACUUUGUGUGCAUUCUUUCUUUGGCUUUCUAUUGUUCAUCUAUAGCUUCUUUUGGUACAAUCGUUUCCUCUAUAUAAAUUGGUGCCUUAGAGGAAUUCUAAAGGAAUCCUCACUUUUGGGAGUAAAGACUGACUUAGGCGAGUUUGGAGUGAACGGAUCGCCUAAGGCCGCACGGAUCGCGAGAUGAAAGAUCUAGCCCCGUGACACUAGAAGAGGGUUGUAAUAUCUUUUUCUUUUUUCUUUUUUUUUUGCUUGAUAUGUAGUCUGGGGAAAGGCCAUUAAGGGUGUGCUUUCCAAGACUUUUUCGACUGGCAAAUGAUAAAAAUGCGAAGGUCAUGGACUAUUCUAUCAAUUCUUUUUGGUCACAUAAUAAUUGGGAACAUUACUUUUCAAUGGGGUUGUUUAGAAAAUGAGGUUAAGGUUCCUUCAAAGAAGGAUUUACUUAUAUGGAAAUUCUACUUUGUCUUCAGAUUUUUAGUUAAUAAACAGUAUAAUUUGUUGUCAAAUGUUCCACAGGUUGAAGAUGAUGGAUUGGUAAAUGCAUUUGGAGAUAAAAAAACACCUCCCAAUUUGCAGUGUUUUUUUUGGAUGUUAAUAUUAAAGAGACUUCCAACAAAAAGAUUUCCUGUGCAAAAGGGGAUGGAGUUUGAACCUAAUUCGUUGCCUUGCCCAUGGUUCAAUAUUUGGUUUAUUCUUGCUCUUUUUUUCACGUUCUUUUUUUAUGCAGUUUAGUGCUUGGCAGGGCUUUACAAGUUUUCUGUUAUGGAACAAGAAGAAAAGUCAACACUGGUUUUCUACUUUUAAAAUUUUAUUCAUUUCUGUUUAUACAAUUUUCAAUUUGUAAUCAUGCUUUUCAAUGUAUUUAAACAGGGCGUUUUGACUGGGUGGGGAAGGUUAUGGUGCAAAACAGUUAAUGAAACGAGUCGUACUAGCUGGAUGGCACAACUGUCAUGAGUCCGUUCAUUUUUCUAUUUGGCCACCAGACAAAUAGUUGAAACGGUUAUGAAAUUACAUGACAAGUUUUCUCAAAAUCUUCUCUUUCUUCUCUUGUGCUCUUUCUCCUAUUUUUCUCCGACAAACUCUUCUCCAUUUUUGUUUCAUACCAAAGGUAUCAGAGCCCAGACAAUCCUUAUAGCUGGUGGCAGUGUAACUACUAGGUUGCAGAAGGAACUAUCACAGUUACAAAUGGACUUGACACAAAUAGAUGCUCGACUUGAUACACGACUAAAGGAUUUUCCUGAAAAAAAUACACUAAAAAUGAAGGGCCUCUUUGAGCAGUAUAUGGGACCAACAUCAGUAACAACACGGGUCACUCUUUAGAUAAGAGAAAGUGGGUUUUUAGGAGGCUUACAUUUAGGGUUUGCACCUAAAGAGUCACUGAUGCUCUCACCGAUUUAGGACAGUGGGCACUUAGGCCUUCUCUCUAACACUAGCGCGAUGGAAUCUGUUGGGAAGGCAGUCAAGUAUGACUGCCCGAGGUUUGGCGAUGAGGAUCUUUUAGCGUGGUGGUUUAAGCUAAAACAAUUGUUCGAGGCUGAGGUUUAUAGGAGCAAACAAAAGUCAAAAUUGUUAUGCUUCACAUGGAUAGGAAGGCUCUGGAUUGGCAUAAUUUUUUUUGCCAAAGACAUGGGGGUCUUCACCAAAUCACUUGGGACACUUAUGCUAGGGGCCUCAAUGACAGGUUUGGUUCUUCUACCGCUCGUGACCCUAUGACUGAGCUCGUUACCCUCAAACAACAAGGAACCGUGGACGAAUAUCAUGACCAUUUUGUGAGUGUACUAAACCAACUACAUUUACCUAAGAGUUACACUUUAAGCAUAUUUGUUUACAACCUUAAAGCGGAGAUAGGGCAGUAUCUUAUGUUGUUCAAGCCACAAACCUUAGUGGAGGGGGUACUCUUUAGCUAAACAAAUGAAAGAGAUAAUGUUUCCUACACCUAGCAAAGGGGUGACAUUUGGGGGUAGUGAAGGUCACUCUAAACCCCUAUUUUCCAUUCCUUAAAUAACAACCUCAAUAACUGCACCCUCUUUAAAUACUAGUUCUAACUUAAUCUCUAGUAGUAAGAAGCCACCUGUUAAGUUCUUGUCUUAAUCUGCAAUUGAGGAACGCCGUAGGAAGGUUUUAUGCUUCUGGUGUGCCACUAAGUAUACACCAGGACAUAAGUGUGCUAAAUCAAAAUUUUACUAGCUCAUAGUGGAACAUCAAAUCGAGCUCUUAAGGGAAUCCAAAGGGCCAAUGGUGGAAAAUUUUCAAGAUUGCCCUAAACAGUUGGAGAAUGUGGACCAAGAACCUGAAAACAUAACCCCAAUUACUAUCCUUACAUGCUUUAAAAGGCUAUCAAGGGCAUAACACGAUAAGGAUAGCAGCUAUGCUGGGACAAGUGGAGGUGAUUAUAUAGGUAGACUCGGGUAGUACGCAUAACUUUGUUGAUACAAAGCUAGUUAAAAGGCAGAGUUUGCUUGGGGAACAAUCUUGUCAGUUGAAGGUCAUGAUAGUUAAUGGUGGGAGCUUAAUCACUAAGGGAUUAUGUAGGGCAGUGAAAUGGAAAACACAAGGGCAGAAGUUUACUAUCGACUUCAUGAUUUUACCAGUCAAAUGGUGUGUUAUAGUUUUGGGGAUUUAAUGGCUGUUGAUGUUGGGAUCCAUAGUAUGGAAUUUUGGGUCCCUUACCAUUCAUUUUGAAUAUGAAGGUAGGGAAUGUAGUCUUCAAUGCAUUGUUUCAGGAGGGUUGCAACUUCUUUCAGGUCAUCAACUUUCUAAGUGCCUACAGAUGAAUGCAACCAGCCCCUAGUCUAUGCUAUGCACUUCUGAUCAACCAACUACUUUAAAUCUGUUACCCACGCCAAUCUGGGAGGACUUGCAGCAGCUCCUGUAUGAAUUUCAAGAUGUCUUCCAAUUUCCAAGGGGAUUACCACUGAACAAACUACAGGACCAUAAAAUUCCUGUACAAGAUGAGACUAAGGUGGUGAAUAUUAGGCCCUAUAGAUAUCCUUCCCCUCAAAAGACACAAAUAAAAAAGCUUAUACAAGAAAUGCUUCAGGUAUGUGUCAUUAGGGAUAGUAGCAGCCCCUUUGCAUCUCCUAUUGUGAUGGUGAAAAAGAAAGACAGGAGUUGGAGACUGUGCAUGGACUACAAGUAGCUCAACCAACUGACCAUCAAGGAUUGUUUUCCUAUACCUGUUAUAGAGGAAUUGCUUAAUGAGCUUGGACAAGCCAUAGUUUUCUCUAAAUUAGACCUAUGAUCACGGUAUCACCAUUUAUGAAUGCAUGAAUCUGACAUUUUUAAUACAACUUUUCCCAUGCAUGAAGGGCAUUACGAAUUUUUGGUUAUGUCAUGUGGCUUAACCAAUGCCCCCUUAAGUUUUCAGUCACUGAUGAACUCGAUUUUCAAGAGGCUAUUGAGGAAGUCAUACUAGUGUUCUUUGAAAAUAUACUAGUGUAUUCUCAUAGUAGGUCUAAUCAUUUAAUCCAUUUAAAGGAGGUGUUGCAGCUCCUAAGAGCUGAUCAACUAUUUGCCAAGCAAAGUAAGUGCACAUUUGGCACCCACCAAAUCGAGUACCUUGGGCAUAUGAUUUCUGAAGGGCCAGUCACUAUGGACGUAGCUAAGGUUGAAGGGGCCCUUGAUUGGCCUACUCCUAAGUUGAUAAAAGAGCUGAGAGGAUUUCUUGGUCUGUUAGGAUACUAUCGUCAGUUUAUUAAACAUUAUGGGAUUUUGGCUCGUCCACUAACCGAGUUGCUUAAGAAAGAUAUCUUUUGGAAUUGGACUGAAAUAGCUACCGAGGCAUUUGAGAGGCUCAAACAAGUAGUUUGUAUAGCACUAGUUCUCUCACUUCUAAAAUUUAAAGAAGAAUUUAGUGUUGAUACGAACGCUUGUGGACCAGGUGUAACGGCAAUUUUGCAAUAGAAAGGAAGGUCAGUAGCGUUUUUAGCAAAGGGCUGGGAGUAAAACACCAAGCGCUUUCCAUCUACGAUAAAGAGAUGCUAGAUGUUCUGUUGGCAGUAAAGAAGUGGCACGCAUACUUGGUGGUUAGGAGGUUCCUGAUCAGAAUGGACUAUCACAGUUUAAAGUUCUUGGCUGACAAAUAAACAAUUACACCAUUCCAACAAAAAUAGGUGGUGAAAAUGCUAAGGUAUGAUUAUUAAAUAUCCUAUAAAAAGGGCAGCAAAAACAAGGUGGCAGAUGCCUUGUCUCGAAGGGUUCAUGAAGGGUAAUUUUUGCAAUGCAUAGGCAACAUUUCCUGGUUAAAUGUGUGGGCUCGAGUUAAGGAAUCGUGUCUCAUUGAUCCAUCAUUGCAACAAAUAUGCCAGGAAACUUCAAUAGAAUUCUUAGUCCCAUUCUAAAUAUUCUUGGGAUGGUAAAAUGCUUCGAAGGAAAGGAAAGGUAGUGGUAGGUAAUGAUCCUAAUCUCAAAAAAGAGUCAUUCGAUUACUUUCACAGUGGCCUUACUAGGGGACAUUCGGGUGUACAUGCUACGAGGCACCGAUUAUCAAGGUUAGUUUACUGGGAAGGCUUAUCCAAGGAUGUAAAGAUGUGGAUUAGGGAAUGCUCUACUUGCCAAAAAUGUAAGGGUAAUCUAUUUGCUUCUCCAGGACUUCUACAACCCCUUCCCAUACCAUAUCGAGCUUCGGAGGCCAUUAGCAUGGAUUUUGUGGAAGGUCAUCCAAAGUCCCAAGGCAAGAAUGUGAUCCUUGUAGUGGUAGAUCGAUUAACCAAAUACUAGCACUUUUUGGCUUUUUCUCAUCCCUUCACAGCACUGACUGUUGCUCAAGAUUAUAUGAGGCAUAUUUACAAGCUACAUGGAGCCCCCAAGUCCAUAGUAUCCGAUUGUGACAAGAUUUUUGUUAGCACUUUUUGGCAAGAGUUAUUCAAACAGUUGGGUACUAGGGUGCAUUUUUCCACUACUUACAACCCACAAACGGUUGAGCAGACUGAUGUCUUGAACCAUUAUCUAGAAGGAUAUCUGCAACGCAUGACAGGUGAAUGCCCUAAGGAAUGUUUGUUCUAGUUACCCUUAGCAGAAUGGUGGUACAAUACCACCUACCAUUCGACUAUUCAAACCACGCCAUACGAGGCGCUAUAUGGCCAGAGCCCUCCACUGCAUCUUCCCUACCUUUGGAUCCUCACUAAUAGCGACAGUUGAUCGAAGUCUUCAACACUGUGAGAACGCUAAAGCUGUUGCAAUUUCAUUUCAAGAGGUCACAAGAGAGGAUGAAACCGAUAGCCGAUUAGAUAGGGCACUACCCAAAGAGCCUGUAAGAAAUCUAGAUCAGCAAAUGGUGAAAUAGGGGAAUCACGUUGCUACUGAAAUGCUUGUCGGAUGGGCUAAUACUUUUGUAGAAGAUUCUACAUGGGAGAACUUGUAGAAGGUCCAAAGGAAAUUUCUAGGUUUCGAUCCUUGAGGAAAAUGAUCUAAUUCAAGCAGGGAGUAAUUGUUAUGGAACGAGAAGAAAAGUCAACACUGGUUUACCACUUUUAAAAUUAUGUUAAUUUCUGUUUAUGCAAUUUUAAAUUUGUAAUCAUGCUUUUCAAUGUAUUUAAAUAAAACGGGGCGUUCCAACUAGGUGGAGAAGGCUAUGGUGCAAAAUGGUGCGUUUUGCAACCUAUAAGACAAUUUAAUGAAACGGGUUGUAUUAUCUGGAUGGCACAGCUGUCAUGAGUCUGUUAAUUUUUCUAUUUAGCCACCAGCCAAAUGACAGAAACAGUUAUGAAAUUGCAUGACAAGUUUUCUCAAAUCUUCUCUUUCUUCUCUCGUGCUCUUUCUUCCUCUUUCUUUCUCCUAUUUUCUCCACCGAACUCUUCUCCAUUUCUGUUUCGUACCAUUUUCUAAAUUGAUCCUUGGAUGGCUUCUUGUUGGGAGCUUUUGUUUAUUUUUAAAUGAAAAGCUAAGUAACAUUGGUUAAUUUGCGUUGGGGCUGGACUUUGGUCGAUUUGGUUGGCUCGUAACGAGUUGAUCUUUAGGGGAAAAUUGUUGCCAUUGGGUGAACAUUUGCUUUUGACAAAGCUUCACUUCCUUUCUAGAUUAAAGUUGCAUUUAUUGGGAGAUUGUUGGUGGAAUAACACUCUGGAGUGUUGUUUUUAUUCAUUCACAACUCGAAUCUUUGGCUACCUCUUGCAAUUGGUUUUGUAAAGUUUAACAUGAAUGGCUCCUCUAGAGGCUGUCUCAGAAAGACUGAAAUUGGAGGAGUACCUGGGGACAAGAAUGGAUGUGUUCUAGCCUUGUGUUUGGGUCCGAUGGGUGAGGGAUACGCUGCAAACGCUAAAUUGUUGGCCAUUGAGAAUGGUUUGGAGAUCUUUGCAAAUUCUGGUUGGGUUGGGUGUAAACACCUUGUCAUUGAGUCGGAUCCCAUGCUUUCUAUUUCUUGGUGCUCAAACCCGAGUAUUCAACCAUGGAAUUUUGCGAAAGUAUUUAAACAUGUGGACACUCUGGUGAAUAUUGGAUCUAUCAAUUUUAUGUAUGUUUCUAGGGGGACUAAUAGCUGGGCAGAUGAGUUGGCUAAAUAAGAUGUUGAUACGAGUUCAUUGUUUUUAUGUAACUAUUGUGUUGUACGGUUUGACCAUUUCAGUUAUCUAAUAUAGUUGAUUGAGCUAAAAUAAUAAUCAUCAUCCAAGUUUUUAGACUGUUCUGUUUUGUUUACCAAAUUCUCUUUGUUAUUUUAUUCACUUUUUGUAGUCACUCAUAGUUAAAAAGUCUGUGGUCACCGGAGAAAAUGUGUACAUUCAAUAUUUACACGUUUGUUAAUUUAAUCUUUAUUUUUAAAAAGAAGUAACAAAUUAACCCUCGGCAUUUAUACAAUUUAUUGAUUUUGCCUUAGUUAUAAAAAUUUAACAAAAUAUAAAUGAAAAAAAAGUUUUUUAAAAAUCAGCUUUUCUAAAAAGAUAUAAAAUAUUUAAUAUAUAUAAAAUAUUCAAAAAUUUAUAAAAUUUACUUAAAUUUGUUAAAAAAUAUUAUAUUAUUAAAACUAUAUAAUGCCAUUAAAAUUUAAGAGAUAUUAAAAAUAUAUAUAAUGUGAAUUUGAUCUUGACUACCUUAAGUUUUAUUUCGUGGAAUUAAAGAUUUGUCUUGUAUAAAAAACUGAUAGACGAAAGACUCCUUAAAUAAACGCAAAGGAAAAGUCAGAUUGAAUGGUGGAAACUCCCAACAAUUUGGAGCCCCACAUUGACAAUUCUUGUUUAAAUUAUUAACAUCUAAACAACGUUACCUGCAGUGAUUUGAGUCAGAAUUUUUUUUUUUUGUUUGGGAUCAAAAUUAAAUUAUAUAUUUUUACGACUAUAAAAGUGUAAUUUCACAAUUUUUAUAGUCUAUAUUUUUAUAAAUUUUAAUUGAUUAUAUCAAAUUUUAAUUAAUUUUGAAUGGAUCAAAAUAUAAUUUUACUAUUAUUAAUUCAAAAUUUUAUAAUGAUAGGCGUGCCCUGCUGCCACGCCUGGCUCCCUCACUUGCGAAGUCAAUACGCCAUCUUCGAGCAAUUAAGAAUAGGAAAGUCUAUGCCCAUGGAAUAUUAGAGAUGGAAUUUUCUUCAUAAAAUGCAAACACGUAAUUUUAGAAACCUUGGAAGUUUAUCAAAUUUUAUUCCUGAUUUGGUCUUUCAUUCAAAACAAUAGUAGAAUAUAAUAUACUAAUAAAAAUAAAUGUGAAUUAGGUUAUUAGAGAUUGAUCUUGAUUCAUUCUCCAUAAUUUAAAGAAUUUAAUUGCUUGAUUUAAAUAAAUCCAAACAUUAAGGAAAAUUGUUUAAAAGGAUUGAAACACAAUCACUUCAAUUUGUUGGCUAAAUAAUAAUAAGACGGUAAUUACUAGUACUUUUAGUCAUCGUGAAUAAGAUAUUCUCUACUCACCAUAACGAAUCUAUUUAAUAGCUAACAUACCUUUUUAUUAUUAUUUCAAUUUAGGCAUAAUACCAAAUUAAUCAUUAGGUUUAUAUAUUUUCUAAAAUUGGUCCUUUUUUAAUUAAGUUUAUCAGUAAUUUUUCAGAAAGAGUCAAACCACUUUUUAAAACAAAAAUGCUUAUUAAAACAUUAAUUUUUUUAACGAUUGGUUACUCGUGUGGCAGCCUUGGUGUAUUUCAUGUUAACAUGAUAUUAUUUGUCUUAUAUAGCAUGUCAUCAAAUAAUUUAAAAAUUAUAAAAAAUGUUAAAAAUAAAAUAUUCAAAAUUCAAAAAAAAUUAUAAAAAGUUCAUAAAAAUUCAAAACAAUUAGCAUAAGUACAUGUCGAUUACUACAUGUGUAACCAUGUUUAAAAAUUAAUAAUUUAGUCAGCAUUUCCAUUAAAACAUAAUAACUAGUUUUGAAAGGUUGAUGGUAAAAGAAACCUAAGAGUCAAAUUAACAAAAGAUUAAAAAUUAAGGACUAAAUUUGACAUUAUAUAUUUAAUUUAUAAUCUUUUAAUUUUUUGAUGAUGUGGGGUAGGGGUUGUUUGGGAUUAAACCGAAGCUCUUAUACCUAGAACCUAAUACUUUUGUCACUAGGCUAAGAAGUUGCUGAUAAUUUAUAAUAUUUUAUUAAAAUAUAUUAAACUUUAAAUUUGUUCUAUCAUUCAUUUGAAGAGAGAUGCUUAAUUUUAAAGCAAUAAUUGAUAUAUAUUUUUCUAAUAUAUUAAAUUAAAAAUUUUUAAAAAUGUAUCUUUUAUACUUUUUUAAUAAUUUUUUAAAUAAUCAGUUAAGUGCUUAUGUGACGUUUACGUGUAUGUCAUGUUAGCAAAGUUAACAAAAGUUAACUUUUUCGUCCAUUUUCGGGUGAUUUGAUAAAUAAUACAAAUUUAAGGGUUAAAAGUGAUGAAUAUUUUUUAAAAAAAAUGUUUAAAAUAACUUUUUUGUAAAGUUGAAAUACUACAUAAAUCAUUAUGUUUUCAAGGAUAGAAUUGAAGAAUUAAUUUUAAAAAUUUUUGAAAGGCAUAUUUAUAAAUAUAGAUAUAAAUAAAGAACGUUGGGAGCAAAGCAAUAGCAAACAACUUCGUACCAUUUGGAGGAGGGAAUAGGGCAUGUGGUGGAGCAGGCUUUGAAAGGUGGAUAAAGAGUAGAGUCUUUAUUUGUCAUCCACUAAAUAACAAAUGAAAUUAAUGAUGAAGAAAACAUUGAACUUGAACCAACGACUUCCCAUUGUUUUUUCUUCAUCCAAAGUCAACAAAUUUGUUUUUGUUUUCAAAUUCUCAAAUCUGUGUUUCUGGUCGUUUCCACUAUUUGUUUUUCAGUUUUCACAUUUUCUUGUAUUGUCUCAAUUAAGGGGGAAACGUUUAUUUUAUUUCUGAAAAGCAAACUUUCUUCUUCCCUUGAUUUCCACUUGGCAAAAGAAACAGCGCAGAGGAUAGUUCAGUGAAGGUAAGUUUUGAGGAACUGCUCCUCAUGAAACUUCAUCUUCCUUGCUAUAUAUUUUCAUCUUUUUGUUGAAUGCCAUUUAGUUUGUGUUGGUGUUUUCAUAUUAUUGGCCUUUUCACAAUUUUCUAUUACGUGCACUAAAUCAACUCUUUUGAUCUUUUACAGCUCUAUUUACUUUCUGGUAUUCAAGGGUGAUCACAGAGACGUAAGUUCAAGAAUAAUUUCUAGCUUCUUAAAAAAUCAUCUUUUUCUACGCAAAUAUAAUAAUCUCUUUGGUUUUGAACAAUAAUUACAGCUUCUUAAUUGGUAGCUUCCAUUCUCUUUGGUUUAGAAAGACUGAUUUAAAAGCAAGUAAUUUGCAAAUCAAAUCCAUUGAUGAUUCCUACUUCUGUUAGUUAGCAAGCAUUCACAAUUGCUUUCAUUUGUCUUUAUGUUAAUCUUCUUACUAACAACAAAAGUUUUUGUUCAACCUCAUCAGACUAUCAACAAAAAUGGCCGAAUAUGUUGCCUCUACUGCUGUUGAAAGUGUGAAAAAACCAGGCAAAGGAAUACGCAUCACCUUAUCUCCGUUACUUUUCUGUUAUGGAGAGAUUGUUGAAGAUUUCAAGAAUCAAAGAAAGGAACUUAAAUUGAGGAAACAGAGGGUGAAAACUCGUGUCGAUGAGGCUAAAAGGCAAAUUAAGGUCAUCUAUGAAGACGUCGAGGACUGGCUUAGAAGGCUGAGAAAGAACUGGAAGAAACCCAGAACUUCGAAGAGGAAAUAGAUGGCGUCAAGCGUUUCAAAUGGUGUCCUCAAUGGAGCUGGCGAUAUUGCUUAAGUAAGAAACUGGCAGAGAAGACUCUUAUUAUUUCUAAACUAUUAGAAACUUCUAAUUUUCCACAGGUGGGGUAUCGUGGUCCUCUUCAAGGAAUAGAGUUCAUCACAUCCACCGAUUUCAUGGACUCUGAAUCUUCAAAAUCAGCUUUGAACCAGAUCAUGGAGGCUAUAAAUUCUGUCAACAUGAUCGGACUGCACGGAAUGCCAGGAGUUGGUAAAACUACUUUAGCCAAAGAAGUUGGGAAGCAUGCUCGAGAACAAAAGCUCUUGAUAAAGUUGUGAUGUUUACUAUGUCCCAAAAUCCAAACAUCAAGAAAAUUCAAGAGAAAGUUGCAGAUAGUUUUGGUUUAAAUUUUGAAACAAGUAGCCAAGAAGGAAAAGCAGAAGAGCUAUUCAGGUGUAUGCAAGGCGUUGAAAAAAAUCUUCGUAAUUGUCGAUGACCUCUGGGAAGAAUUCAAAUUGGAGAGCAUCGGAAUUCCAUUCGGUCAUGAACACAAGGGUUGUAAAAUUCUUCUGACUACACGUCAUCAACAAGUCUGCACUAAAAUGAACUGUCAGAAGGAAAUUCAACUUGGCAUCUUAUCCGAAGACGAAGCAUGGGUUUUACUUCGAGAUAAAGCUGGUUUAGAAGAGACGACUGUUCACCUUGACUCAUGUAGCCAAAGAGGUUGCUGGUGAAUGUAAGGGAUUGCCCCUUGCAAUUGUUACCGUGGCAAAAGCUCUAAAAGGUGAGAGUUUAGAUGGGUGGAGAGCCGUGAAUCAGAGAUUCAAGGACUCAAGGCAUUUGGAUAAUGAAGAAGUUCUCGGAGGUGUCCUCAAGCCUCUCAAGCUUAGCUACGAUUAUUUGAAAGAAGGCAAUAGCCAAAUGACGGGUAAUGACAUCCAAAUGUGUUUCUUACUGUGUUCCCUUUUUCCUGAAGAUGCUGAAAUCAUUAGUGACGUAUUGAUUAUGUGCGGAAUUGGAGUAGGAUUGUUCCCUAAUGCUUUCUCGAUUGAAGAUAAAAGGAAUGAAAAAUUGGCAUGCUGAAAUCAUUAGUGACGUAUUGAUUAUGUGCGGAAUUGGAGUAGGAUUGUUCCCUAAUGCUUUCUCGAUUGAAGAUAAAAGAAUGAAAUUGGCAUGGCACUAAAAAAACUCCAAAAAUCUGGCUUGUUAUUGGAAACUGAUGUGCAGAAACGAUAAGAAUGCAUGAUGUGAUUCGAGAUUUUGCUCAUUGGCUAACAUCAACCGGAGAAAUAGGUUCAUGGUAAAAAGAUAAGUUGAAAGAAUGGCCUCAUAUGGUUGGAUGUUAUACUGCAAUCGCUUUAUGGAAUUGUAGUAGUAACAUAAAAAAUUUCCCUGAUAAAGUGGAGUUUUCAAAGCUCAAGACUUUGUUUCUUAAGGGGGAGCGGGGGAUGAUUUACUUGUGGUUCCCAAUACAUUUUUUGAAGAAAUGAAAGCCCUCCAAGUUCUACUCCUCGAAAAUGUCUUUCCACUGAAAGGAUUCCAUUCCUUGCCAAAUCUUAAAACUUUGUGCUGUAUUAGAUGCAAGCUGGAAAACUUCUCAUCAUCACUGACAAAUAUGAGAAGCCUUGAGAUUCUUGCAUUGUUUGAGACUAAGUUUGAUGAGAUAAGUGAAGAAUUAGUGAAAUUGUCUGCACUGAAAUUAUUAUUUGUUGAAGUUGAAGAGGAAGAAGAAAUCAAUUCCCCCCCCAACCUGCUAUCAAGGUAAUAGUGCAUCAGAUUUAAUUUCUUUUUUAUCAUAUUUCUAUUAAUUACUUUAAUAGAUAUUUCAAAUAGUCAAUGCAAUAAAUUUUAAAAAAUAAAUUAAUUUGAAAAAUUAACUCUUAAUAUUAUUUAUCAAUUUAGCACUUAUUUUUUUUAGUUCAAUUUGAUUCUGAGCCUUUUAAAAAUUUUUAAAUUUGAGCAUCAACAUUUUAAGAAGUGUUGAAUUAUUUUUUUGACGGAAAUAUUAAUUAAAAUGUUAAAAUUUUAAACAUGGAAGCCAGCAUGGCAAUCCAUGUAUACUUCAUGCUAUUUUUUUAUAUUUUUUGAAUUUUAAAUUUUUUAUUUUUUAAAUAUUUUUAUAAAUUUUAAAUUAUUUGUUGACUUGAUAUAUAAGAUAAAAGUGUAAUGUCAGCAAAAAAUAUAUGUGGACUAUGAUUAAGUUAUAUAUUAAAGUAGAUAUAAAAAAUAAAUAUGACAUAUUCAAUAAAAAGUUAAUUAAGUUUAAUACAAUAUUACUGGUAAUUAAAAUAAAUAAUAUUUUUAAUAAAAUAUAAAGAUAAAAUAGUUGAUUUGUUGACAAUUAGUUAUAUUUUAAAAUAUAUGUGUUAUGAAUAAUUUGUAAUUUCACUUUAAUAAUGACUUCAGUUUUAGUAAUUAUCUGAUUUUAUGUUGUCAAAAUUAUUUUUGCAUUUACUUUUUUUUCAAAAUUAUAAAAAUGUUUUCUUUUAAACAUAAAAAAUUGACCCAAUCUGUAUUGCGUCACACAACUGACAAUUAAUGUUUUUUUUUUUAUGAAUAUAAUAGGUUGACUUCACUGGAAGAGUUACAUGUGAGAAGGCAAAAGCAAUAUCAACUUAUUGGAGCUGAAUUCGUUGUCUCGUUUAACUGCAGUAUCACUAAGACUUUCUACUAAUCAUUUUUCUCAAGAAUAUUUUUGUGCUCCCUAAACUACAAAGGUAUGCUCUAAGUUGUAACUGACUAUAUUAGAUAUUUAGAGUCACUAACCUUUAGAGCAUUGACAAUUAAAAACUUCUCAUCCUCAUUGAGUGCAUUUAACCAUUUAUUUUGCCAAUGUGGAAAAGUUGAAGUUGGGGAAUGUUAGUGGACAGAAGAACAUUGUGCCAAGCAUAGGUAAAAUGGAGUAAAUGAGUUGACUUCUUUGGAGCUUGAAUCUUGCAAGGAUAUGGAAUUCUUGACUGAUAUAACAAGAGAUCAAGGGCCAACUGUUGCAUUCUCUAAUUUGGUGGAAUUAAAUGUAGCAAACAUGGUUUCUUUGAAAGGGUUGUGCUAUGGUCUUUUCUCCGACUAGGUUUCUUGCAAAAUCUUAAGCAAGUGAUCAUUAGAGAUUGUAAAGAGUUACAAGUGAUAUUUCAAAUGGAUAAACUUUCAGAAAAAGUGAAAUGUCAGAUGCCAUUGCUCUCAAAUUUAACAAUAUUGGAACUAUAUUCAUUGCCGAAUUGGAGAGCAUAUGGAAAUUAGAGCCAUCACAUCAUGCAACUGCCAGCCUCGCAGAUUAAAGGUUGUAAAAUUGGGGACUGUGAUAAACUAAAAACAAUCUUCUCACCUUGCCUAGCUCUAAGUAUGCUGCAUCUAGAAGAACUCGAUGUAACUUGGUGCCAUGGAUUAGAGCAAGUAAUUUUUUUUGUCCAAGAAGAAGAGAUUAUUGAGGUAGGGAUACCUAUUCUCUCCAAUUUUGUUAAUCUUCUUAAUUGUUUUAGCUUUUUUAUAGCAUUUUUCAGGGAUGAGACAAAUUGAAAGAAAACCUUUGUGAGUUUAGAUUGGUUUUGAUUCUUUUAUUAUUUGUGUGCAUCUGGUUUGUUGGAAGCAUUGUGGCCACUAAAGAAAUUAACUUUUAUUACUAAAAAGAAAUACACCAAUGCAAAAUACAAAUAUGUUUUCUUCUCCCUCUCAAUUACUACCUACAACUAGUUAUACACUCACAAUUCAGUCUCUUAUUUCCACUCAUGCACACAAAGUCACACACCUUUGUUUUGUUUCAUACUCUUUCUUUUUCUUCUCUUUCACACGCUUGCUUUUACAUCACAUAUAUAAAACCUAUUUAUAGGCUUAUAAAAUGCAUCAUGAAUUAUUGUCUCUCAUUUUUAUUUAGAUUUUAUCUAUUUAUAGAAAGCCCUUUACUUAAUUCCAUGUCACUUUAUCUACCUUUAGAUUGCUAACUUACAAGGUCAGUUUGAUAGUUGAAAAAACUCACAUUUUAGUGUCAAAGGAAGUAUUCAUUCCCUAGAGCACUAAAUCGAUAUAGAGACCUUUUCCAUAUUUAUUAUAUUGGCAACUUAUUGAAUGACUUUUAUGGGGUAUGAUGAGUCUAUGAUUGAUAUCUAGACCAUUAUAGAAGAUCAUAUCACUUAGAGAUUAUCUUUUGGAGAUUGGAUUGAUUUGAAAUUGCCCAAGACAAUCCCUUGGAUCAUGGAUUUUGAUUUGGUUUGUGAUUCUAUCUAUGGUUGAAUCAUGUUUGUCAUCUCCUUGUGAUGAGGACACCAAUGUAACUUGGAUACCACUUAUUGGAAGUGUAGUUGACUAAGGAAAUUAACUUUUAUUACUCAAAACAAAUACACUUACACAAAAUACAAAUAUAUUUUCCCCACUCUCAAUUUCUAGUUACCACUAGUUAUACACUCACAAUUCACUCUUUGCAUAUUUCCACUCUUGUGCACACAAACUCACACACAUUUCUUUCAUUUCUUACUCUUUCUUUUUCUUCAUAUCACAAAUAUGAAACCUUAUUAUAGGCUCAAAAACCACCUCAUCAAUUGCCACCUCUCUCAUUUUAUGUUUAUUUUAUUUAUUAUGGAUAAGCCUUCAAUUAAUUCCAUGCCACCUUGACUUUUGCCCAUGGAUUGCCCACUUAUAAGGUUUGUUUGACUUCAACACAAUUUACAUGAUAGAAGAAUGUAAUUAUUUAUAUAGUAGGAAAUUCUAUCUUUUAUUAAUUAUAAUAAUGCUUUAAUAUUUUAUAAUUUAAAAUAAGUAUUAUAUUGCAGACAUGAAUACUUGAAAAUUUCAAACAAUUUCAUUCUCCAUUCCUAAUUAUAAAAAAUAAAUUCAAUUUUAUUUAUAUCGAUUGUGUGUUUUAUAAACAACUGUGAAGCCCCUAGUUUGUUUGAGUUAGCUUGUUGCUUUUUUGGGUAGACACCCUGUGCAUCUAACCAUUGGUAUGCUAAAAGAAACUAAGCAGCAUAUACAUGUUUUUAUAUUUUAUCUUUUAAUUAAUAAUCUAUGAUAUGCUCAAUUUUUUUAUAAUAAAAUAAAUAACUUACUAAGAUGUGUGUUUGAAACAUGUAGAAUGACUCUCCUCUUUUGUUUGGCCGAAAUUGAGGAUUCUUCGCAUAGAAUUUUGCCCAAAUUUGAAAUAUGUUUGUGCAAACACUUGGACUCAAGGGCUUCAAUCCUUGGAAUCUGUUUACAUAAGAGAUUGUUCUCAACUUAUACAAGUCUUCAACAUGGAACAAAAUAAGCAUGGACAAGAUAUUGUGCUUCCUGAACUUGGAUCACAGGUACUUCUGUAUUUACAUUUUUAAGGCUGAGCAAAGAGUUGAAAAAAUUGAAAUUAAUUUGAAUUGUAGUGUUCAAUUCAAUUUUUUGUUGAAUUACAACUAUUUAAAAAUAUAAAAAGUUAUAACUUAAAAAUUAAAUUACAACUAUAUGUUUUAAAAUUAGUAUAUCAAAUUAAUUUAUAAAUUUAUUAUCAAAUACUAAUAUACUAUAAUAUUCAUAUUUUAAAUAAUUCAUGUAUAAUUAUAAAUAGUAAAAAAAUAGAGAAAUAUUAUAUAUUUAUUUUCUAUUGACGUUAAGCUUUAAUAUUUAUUUAUAUUUUAUAUUUAUUUAAUAUAAUAAUAAUUAUUUAAAUUAUAUUUUAGAAAAUUAUUAAAUUAAUUUACCAUAAUAUGAUUGUUUUUGCAAGGCUACCAUAUUUUAAUUUGAUAAUUUAUGUGAGAUAUUAAUACAGUGUUUGUAUAAAUAUAUAUUAAUAUAAUUGUAGAAUGAAUUUAUUUGAGUAGUGGUUAGUUCUACCUAAUAAAUAUUAUUUGAUGACAAGAAUUUUGAUAAAUUUAACUAAUAAAUAUUGAUAUCAUUGUCGGAAUUGAGGUGCAUAUGAAAUGGAUCGAAUCAUUGCGUUAACCUCUAUAGUCUGAAGACUAUUAAAAUAACUUAUCAAAGUCUAUUUUUAGAUAUUAAUAUUUUUCAAAAUUUCGGGUUGGACUAAAAAAAUUGUAUUCAUAAUUCUUUGAUUUUAAAGUUGAACGAGUAUCAGAGUUCAAUCUCUCUCAUCGACUAUUACAAUGAAUAUUGUUUUUUUUUAUUUUUUUAUUGUCAUGAUUAAUGAUUUUGAAGUGGUUGGGGUAUCACAGUUCCAAAAUAAAUAAAUACAUCUCUUUAUAAUUGGUACAUUCAAAAUCAAUUUAUAUCUUUUUCAUAUGUUGGUAAAGAAAUUCUUUAAAACUUAAACUAUGUUUAAUAAAUCAUAUUCCUCACUUUUAUUUAAACAAAUAUAUUUGGUAAAUAUCUAAAUAUGUGGUUCAUUCAUGAAGAAUCAUUGCCGGACAAAAUUGAAACUCUCCGGAUAGUAGAUUGCCAACGAUUGAAAUAUGUGUUUGCAAACACUUUCUCAGGGAUUUCCAUUGUUGGAAUCUGUUUACCUAGAGAACUGCCUCAACUACUACAAGUCUUCAGUUCGACAGAAGAAAGGGAUGUGAUUGGUGAUCACAUUCUACUUAAUGUGCCCUUUCUGCAAGAUUUAGUAGUGUCAAAUUGUCCCCAAAUCUCAUGCUUCAUUGUACAAGCUCAGCUCAUAGAGGUAUUUAGAUUGUUUGCAUUUUAUAUAUGGAUUUUGGCACUAUAGCAAAUCAGUAAAUCGAUAUGUUGCUUAGUUCAUGUGAUAAUUCAUUCCUCUUUUAUACAUAGUUUGUAAAUGAAUUCCAUUGUUCACUCUUUAAAUAAAAAUGUAUCAAGCAAUGGCCUUUUGAAUUUGGUAGAUAUUUUAGGGGUUUAGAUUUAAAAAUAUAUCCUUUAAAAAAUCAAAGAUACAUGUAGCAUUGAGAUUAGAGAAGUAGUAUUUUUAUUACUUGGAAUAUGUAAAAUUAUAGAGACUUAUGGGUAACAUUUACUCUAGUGUGUUUUUAUGACAUUUAUUAGGAUUUCUGUGUAUGCAGGAAUUGGUUCUUAGUAACAUGGGAAAUAGCUGCCAAUUAUGCAACACUGAUGUUCCUGUAGUGAAUGAAGUUGUAUAGUAGUUGGGAAUCAUGAAGAAGUAUUUCAAGUUCAAGGCGGGUGCUCGUUCUCAAGCAUAAAAAAUUGAAAUUGAGGAAUUUAUUAGAAGUGCGGGUUACAUGGAACGAUUUCGCUGAAGUUGUAACCCUUGAGAACCUUACAACUCUAACACUGAGUGGUUGCAAAAAGCUAAGAUAUAUUUUCACCUAUGAUGGCUCGCAGUUUAUCACAUUUGGAGAAUCUUUUCAUCGAGGGGUGUGAGGAAAUAGAAUGACUCAUUUUAGCCAAGGAUCAAGUUUCUUCUUCAUCAUCAAAUGGCGAUACUAGCCUCCAACCUAUGAGCUUUUCAAAUUUGAAACGGAUAGUUGUUACAAAUUGUAAGAAUUUGAACAGUCUCUUUCCUUUUGGAUUUGUUCCUGUUCUUCCAAAGCUUGAAAAUCUCAUAGUUAAAAGGAAUUCUAAAUUGGAACAAGUAUUCGAAUUAGAAGAAAAAGUGGAAGUGGUAGCUGAAGAGGAGAUGAAAUUUGAUAAACUAAAAUGGUUAUCACUUGAAGAACUACCUGACCUCAUUCACUUUUGUCCCAAAGGAUAUCAUUCUGUAUUCCCAGCAAUGAUAGAGUUGAAAGUAAGAGAUUGCCCUAAGUUGACUACUGGUUUCUUCAUUGAUUCACAGGAAUUUGUACAUUGCAAAACAAAGGUAUAUAUCCUACAACCCUUU